rnacentral:rRNA from 1 species
GUGAGUAGUUCAGAGUUUGAUCCUGGCUCAGGACGAACGCUGGCGGCGUGCCUAACACAUGCAAGUCGAACGGAGCACUUCGGUGCUUAGUGGCGAACGGGUGAGUAACGCGUGAGAAACCUGCCUUUCAGUGGGGGACAACAGUUGGAAACGACUGCUAAUACCGCAUGAUACUUUUGGAUCGCAUGGUCUGAAAGUCAAAGCUUUAUGUGCUGAAAGAUGGUCUCGCGUCUGAUUAGCUAGUUGGUGAGGUAACGGCUCACCAAGGCGACGAUCAGUAGCCGGUCUGAGAGGAUGAACGGCCACAUUGGGACUGAGAUACGGCCCAG